GAUGAACGCUGGCUACAGGCUUAACACAUGCAAGUCGAGGGGAAACGACGGGGAAGCUUGCUUCCCCGGGCGUCGACCGGCGCACGGGUGAGUAACGCGUAUCCAACCUGCCUCUGACUGAGGGAUAACCCGUCGAAAGUCGGCCUAAUACCUCAUGGCAUCGUCUGCGGGCAUCCAACGACGAUUAAAGAUUUCAUCGGUCAGGGAUGGGGAUGCGUCUGAUUAGCUAGUUGGCGGGGUAACGGCCCACCAAGGCGACGAUCAGUAGGGGUUCUGAGAGGAAGGUCCCCCACGUUGGAACUGAGACACGGUCCAAACUCCUACGGGAGGCAGCAGUGAGGAAUAUUGGUCAAUGGGCGAGAGCCUGAACCAGCCAAGUAGCGUGCAGGAUGACGGCCCUAUGGGUUGUAAACUGCUUUUAUGCGGGGAUAAAGUGAGGGACGUGUCCUUCAUUGCAGGUACCGCAUGAAUAAGGACCGGCUAAUUCCGUG
rnacentral:rRNA from 1 species